AUAUGAUAAACCUAUACUUUUCGUAUAUCCUUAACGAUACGGGUUAAGGGUUUCUACCGGAACCGUAAAUUCCAGGCUACGAAAAAAUUGGCGCUCGCG
rnacentral:ncRNA from 2 species